GGGGCAGGUGAGUGGGACAUUGGGCAGGUGUGUGGGACAUUGGGCAGGUGUGUGGGGCAGGUGUGUGGGACAUUGGGCAGGUGUGUG